rnacentral:lncRNA from 1 species
CUCAAAGUCUGCCAUGCGGUCACUUGUCUCACUGAUAUGUGACUCACUGUCCAUUUCAUGGCUUGAAAAUUCAGCUGCUGGAGAGUUUUGGUAGCUUUGGCAGUUCUUACUGAAGUCUUUUUCUGGACAUGCAUAUUUUGCAGAAGGCUCUCCAUCAGCUGUGUUUUCAUCAGCUUCUACAUCUUCUUCCACCAGUGCUGCUGCUUUUAGUUCAUCUGAAACAUAGGCUGCUGCGCGCCGGGGCGCCUGCUGCUUCCUCCUCGGCAUGCUGCGGGCGGCGGGGGGGGCUGCCUCGGCGCGGGGGUGGGAAGAGUUGCUUUAGCCCCAGAGAUCCGCUGCGCUGCUCCAGUCUCGGCUCGAGGGCUGGGUCGGGGAUAUAUUUUUUGUUGCUGUGCAUGCACGAUGCCGAGGAGGAGGAGGAGGAGGCGGCGGCGGAGGAGGAGGAGGCGGCACAGAGGAGAGGACAGCCCUGCUGCUGCUGCUGCUGCUGCUGCUGCUGGCAGAAGAGGGGGGAAGUUUGACAAAUCGCCCCGGAGGAAGGAGGAGGGGAAGCCCCCCGAAGAGGAAGAAAAAUGUAUUGAACUUCCGAUCGGACGGAUUUCAGCUGGAAACGCGGAGUCCUUCACGUGCAUUAGCUUCUCCGGGGGUCACGGUCCAUUUCAGAGAGCCGGAGCCCGUAAUUGUAUUAAGUGUCACAUUUACAAACAUAACGCUUACAAAACAAACGCACAAAAUCGAUGACUGCACGGGCUCUAUCUGCAAAGACUCCGCACACGAGGCUCGGCGCUGAGCUCGCCCUUCCCGGCAGUUCCAAAGCCAGGUACCGAUUAUUUCCCAGUCCCACCGUCAGACGACCACCCCUGCUCAGCGUCCCGCCCGCUCGGCACCGCGCCCGCCCCGAGCUCCGUCGCUGCCCCUUCCACCGCCCGUCCGCUCCGCAGCUCCCCGAGCGCGGCGGCGGCGGCUGAGCUGCGGGGGGCCCCGCGCGCGGACAGCGCGGCAGCGGCCAGCGGGGAUCCCCGGCUAAGUUCGCCAACUUGGCUCAGCCCCGAGCAGGGCGGGGGUUCGCCGGGAACCGCGGGGCGCACCGAGCGCCGGGCCCGGGCCCUCAGCCCCCCGCUGCAGGCGCGGAACAGAGCGGGGCGGCUGCUGGCACCGCCGGCUGUAGGGAGCGCACGGUGUCCCCCGGGUGCGCGGGGGCCGCUGCGGCUUCGCCCGGUGCGGAACAAAAGAGGAGCGGCGCGCAUCGGCGCUGCCGGGACGGACGCGCCUCUGCCAAGUUUGUUUAAGAACACGGCUGCCCGCGCCCGACAACGAUCUUCGGCUUUUGUGCAAUACAAAGCGUUGUCAAUAACCAUUACGGCGGCGGCAAUUAUCUGAGGAGAGAACAAAGGCAUUUUGUAAUAUCUACAUAACUUUAUUAGAGCAAAAUUAUUUUUAAAUGCCUACGAAUUCCCAAACCUCCUGAGUACAAAUGAAUAAAAGUUUUUUCUUCGGGCUAAGAUCUUUGCUUGAAUGUAAAUUGUUUGGGUAAGUAAAUUUACACAGCAGCAAAGUUUGUUUGGCUCAGUCCGGUAGCUGCGCUGUAACGAACCAGAUGUUUUGGCUGCAAAUUAUCCGGAGGACUUUGCCAGUUCUGCCACGCAUCGCGCCCCGGAACGCCAGAACCGGGGCAGCGAGGGCCGGGCAGCUCCCCCAGGCCCGGGAGCGAACCCCCAGCCCCAGCCCACCCCUCCCGGAGCCCCGCGGGCCGCGCACCGGCAAAGCGAGAACGGCGCGGCGGAGCAGAGCAGCGCGGCCCGGCCCUCCCCGCGGCCUUUCCCCGGGCACCGGCGGGGCCGGAGCGCGACCCGCAGCCGCUGCGGCCGGAGCUGAAGUCGGGCGGCUCGUGGAGAGCCGCGGCUGAUGCCGCCCGCGGAGCCGGGGGGGGUCGGGGCUGCUCCACUCGGCCCCGCCCGGCCCGGGCCGCCCCGCCCGCCGCCUCCGCGCCCACAGCGGCACUUUUGGGGGACGGUGCGCGGUGCCCUGAGAUCCGUCGCCGCGGUGCCGUCCCGCUGAAUUAUCGCUUCUUUUUUUGUCCCCCUUGAAAGGACUUGGGGGUCUCUGAAGAAACAAUCGGCCGCUGCUCUGAAGGAAAGGAGCGAUACCAUUCAGAGCUACUGUAGCGUAAUGUGUUCACUUGGGCAGUAGGAAAACCCUUUAUGAAAAUUAGUUACAGAGCCCGAAACUCCCCCCCGUGUGCCAACCGCAGCCAUUGUGCGCACAGGGCUCAGCGCAGCCCGCCCGCACGAAGUUGGCCCCGCUCCGGCUCGGGGAGCUCCACCGUGCAGCCCCCGGCGCUGGGGAGAGGCGGGAGGCGGCGGCGGGGCCGAGGCGGGGGGGAAAGGGAUCCCCGCCCGCUCCCUGCAUCACCCGGGGGUCGGCGCUGCCCGGCGAACGCGGCCGUGCCCUUGAGAGCGCCUGUGACCUCACGGCGGGGAGAUUUGGUUGUGCCCAGAUCCAUCCUGCAGCGGGAAAAAGCGCGGAGCGGAGCUUCUCC